GUGAAGGCUACCGAAAGGUUUGAGGCUAUCUAUCCAACCUUGAAGGAGGUUGCACUUGCUGGCUCUCCUGGUAGUAAAGCAAUGAAACAAGUUUCACAGCAGAUAUUCAGUUUUGCUGCCAAAGCAGCUGGAGAAAGUGUUUCAGAGCUAUCUGGAGAGGCAACUAACAUUUUCAUUUGGUGUUUGACUCAAAAUGUUGAUUGCUACAAGCAAUGGGACAAGAUUU
rnacentral:misc_RNA from 1 species